rnacentral:ncRNA from 2 species
CUCUUAUCCUGAGCUGGUGGAGGGACAGGCCCAAUGAAACCCAGCAACCUGCUAUAAAAGAAAACCGAGAUUAAUCUCUCUGACAAACUUUCUUUCUAGCAAGGUGCUAACCUGACGCAAGGCAUAUGACCUUGAACGAUAAGAG